CUCUGAUUAAUAUUCAUGAGCCAUGCCAUGCCGAUAGUAGGAUUCGUUCAUUGGCUAGCAGACUAGCGUCCCCUUGCCAACGACUGCCUGUAAGCCAAUCAAAUUUUGUACAUUUAAUAUUCAUAAGACACGUUUUCGCCGUAGUAGGAUUAUUAAAUCCGUCUCUCCGCCUUGUGCUCCGGUGAUUGGCCUGCGGAGACUCACUGCACAUUUUCAAAUCAUAGCAAGAUACCCGUGUGGACACUUUUGCAUGCCAAUCAGUUGGAUUAUUUAUUUUCUGCAAUGAUUAAGAGCUGAUGUGUGCGAGUUAUUUUAGGAGCAGGAUUUGAAACGGACCUCGGAGCUGCUGGGCUUUUAAAGCCCCCGUGUGCGUGCAAAGGUUUUGCAGGAGAAAAUGGCGACUGUGCACAGAAAAUAUUUCACUUGUGUCUCACCAACAAAAUGUAGCCGUUGCUGAAUCGACAACGCUAAAAUGGUGCAAAAUAAAUCUAGUUGCAUUUCUCCAGUG